rnacentral:rRNA from 1 species
CCCUUAGAUGUUCUGGGCCGCACGCGCGCUACACUGACGAAUGCAACGAGCUUAUAACCUUGGCCGAAAGGUCUGGGUAAUCUCCAAAUUUCGUCGUGAUGGGGAUAGAUUAUUGCAAUUAUUAAUCUUCAACGAGGAAUGCCUAGUAAGCGCAAGUCAUCAGCUUGCGUUGAUUACGUCCCUGCCCUUUGUACACACCGCCCGUCGCUCCUACCGAUUGGGUGCUCCGGUGAAUUGUUUGGACUGCGUAUUACGUAUCAGUGGUGUGCGGGAAGCUCUGUGAACCUUAGCACCUAGAGGAAGGAGAAGUCGUAACA